UACAUUCGCGCCGAUUUUGGUUUCUUAUUCUUUUUGAUCAUCAGAAUAUAGAAUUAAAAGGGAAUUUGGUGUAAAUCCAAAGCUGUCCCCGCAACUGUAAAACUUAUUUAAAGGCAUCAUUAAUAAAACCACUGUAGCAAAACUAUGGGAAGGUAAAUGAUUGCUUGAGUUGAGUCAGGAUACCUGCCUAAAUCAAAAACAUAAUC
rnacentral:ncRNA from 2 species